CUAAGGCUGGCGACGGUCAACAAUGCCGCAAUGCAAACAAUGUCACUUCAAAAUGUCACACAAAUCAACGGACGACCUCCACCCACCAAAGGAUGGGCGAUGUGCCAUCGAUCAAAGCGCAUUCGCUUUGGGCCCAAAGCCAGAAACGCAUUUGGUAGUUGGUACGUAUAUGUAGAUGCAUACACGCAAACGAAGUGGAGGGAGCGUUUCAGGGAAUAUAACUAAAAAUAAUACAAAACAAUAAAGGCAAACUGGAGUGGUAAAAAGGUAAGGCCAAAAGCAAUAAGAAAGCGAAGGGCUAAAACGAAGGCGGUGGCGAAAACCUGCGAGAUGCCUUCACUCCUUGGCGCCAACAAGGACGUCGCCAGGACCCAUCCAGGAAUCACACACAUAUACAUAUGUACUACACAUAUACGCACGCACGCCAGUAUGCGUAUGUUUGUGUGCGGUGAGUUAAUAAUUUAUAUAUUUAUGCCGCUGAAUCGUAAAACGAAGUUGAAAAACCAAAGCCAAAACCAACAAAGGAAUAAUACAAUAAAAAAUACACAUAAUAAAAGAGCUGCGAAUGGUGGAAGGAGCCGUGGCACACCAAUCCCUCCAUAAGCCACAACCCCAUUUCAACCAUUCUACCCUCUCUCUUCACUUUUCACUUUUCUUCUGAAAAACAUAAGCAUAAGAAAUUGGCGACAGAAACCGAAUCGAGUUUUCUUCACUCAGGAGUUUCCCACACCUCUGUGCCGGAAUUUCAAGGUUUCAAUGAAAGCAUAAAAACCGCAAUGGAAUGUGACUUUUUUAAAUCCAUUAUUAAGUC
ensembl:ncRNA lncRNA:CR43766 long non-coding RNA:CR43766